rnacentral:rRNA from 1 species
UACGUAGGUGGCAAGCGUUGUCCGGAAUUAUUGGGCGUAAAGGGCGCGUAGGCGGCCAUGCGUGUCUUCCGUGAAAUCCCUCGGCUUAACUGAGGACGUGCGGAAGAAACUGCAAGGCUCGAGUCCGGGAGAGGGGGGUGGAAUUCCCAGUGUAGCGGUGAAAUGCGUAGAUAUUGGGAGGAACACCGGUGGCGAAGGCGGCCCCCUGGACCGGUACUGACGCUGAGGCGCGAAAGCGUGGGUAGCAAACGGG